rnacentral:rRNA from 1 species
GUGGAACAGCUUUGUUGCUAGGCCAAAUACAUUAUCAUGGGAUAAUGGAAUAGGACCCUGUCCUCCUAUUUUCAGUUGGUUUUGGCAGCGCGAGGACUAGGGUAAUGAUUAAUAGGGAUAGUUGGGGGCAUUAAUAUUUAAUUGUCAGAGGUGAAAUUCUUGGAUUUAUGAAAGAUUAACUUCUGCGAAAGCAUCUGCCAAGGAUGUUUUCAUUAAUCAAGAACGAAAGUUAGGGGAUCGAAGACGAUCAGAUACCGUCGUAGUCUUAACCAUAAACGAUGCCGACCAGCGAUUAGGAGACGUUGAAUACAAAACACCACCAUCGGCGCGGUCGUCCUUGGCGUCUGUGUCCUCCCCCGCGCGGGCGGGCGGGUUAGCCCGAUCCCGCGAAUGAUGAUUCCU